AGGAUGCGGAGUGACCACGUGUGUUGUUAGGUGUGCCCCCUUUUUGGUGUCUUGUGCCAAAGGAGGAGAGAGUCUAGGAGCUGGAUUUGCGCUUUGCUUAUCUUUAUCGUGUUUGCUUUGAACUUGGUUUGAUCAUAUUUGCUAUCUUUGCUUUGUGUGAUGUGAGACUUGGUCUUAUUGUGAGUCUUAUUGUGAGACU
rnacentral:lncRNA from 1 species